CCCGAGGUCCAGGUCGGAGGCCCUGAGAGGCAGACGUGGCCGCAGUUUGUCCAGCUCCCUCCCACUCUGGGUUCUGCUCUUCUUCCCAAGUGCAGGUACAGCCAACCUACAGCAUCCACGGGCUCCCCCGCCACCACCCCGGGGGCAAAGCCAGCAGCUCUUCACAGAUGCUUCAACAGCUCCCUCGGCUGCAGAAAUUCUAAUCGCUGCAUCACUCAUAGUGGUUCUGCCCUUCUGAUGAGACUCUCAUACAGCAUCCAAGUGAGAUACCGAGUAGGUGCUGGCUGUGAGUCUCAAGUUCAAGGGAAAUGGUCCCAGAUGGGUGUUAAAUUGGGGAAUUGUUGCCACGUGACUGGUAUUUAAAGCCAUAAGCCUGGGUUAGGUCACCCAAAGAGAGCUUUCAAGCAGGAGAGGAGGUCCACCGCCCUGGGAGCUCCAUGGUACAGAGAUGGGGGCAGGAGGGAACAGCCAAGGAGACCGAGAGCCACCAGUGAGACAGAAGGAAACCCUGAGCACUCGUGGCUCAAGGCGAAGGAGGAACGUCAGGAGGAGCCUGAGCUUGACCAUGUCUGCUGAGAUGAGUUUGGAGAGCGGACUGCCGUGCCUGAAGAGUCCUAAGAAGGACAGAAUGUGUGUCAUAAAGGUUUAGUGAGCAGCUAUGUGCUAUGCAAAUGGGAGAUGGAAGCUUCAGUACUUUGGCCACCUGAUACAAACAGAUGACUCAUUGGAAAAUACCUGGAUGCUGGGAAAGAUUGAAGGCAGAAGAAGAGGGUGACAGAGGAUGAGAUGGUUAGAUGGCAUCACCGAUGCAAUGGACAUGAACUUGGGCAAAGUCCAGGAGAUGAUGAAGGACAGGGAAGGAAGCCUGGCAUGCUGCAGCCUGUGGGGUCACAAGAGUUGGACAUAACUUAGCAUCUGAACAACCACCACCAUCCAUACUCUGAACCAGUUCGGUAUCCAGGUCUGCACCACGCAGAGUAGCACUGAUUACAUCCUGUCCCGUCAGACUCUCUCGCUGUUUCAUGCAUGGUGAUCACUUUCCCUCAGCUUCACUGUAAAGUGUCUGAAUUCCAUGCAGUCUAUUGCUUCACCUCCAUAACCCCCAGAGUCCAACACAGCAUAUCCUUGUCAGACUGCUGGCCUAAUCCUGGAGUUCCAGUUGGAU
ensembl:lncRNA